rnacentral:rRNA from 1 species
GAGUUUGAUCGUGGCUCAGGAUGAACGCUGGCGGCGUGCCUAAUACACGCAAGUCGAGCGAACAGACGGGGAGCUUGCUCCCCUGACGUUAGCGGCGGACGGGUGAGUAACACGUGGGUAACCUACCUAUAAGACUGGAAUAACUCCGGGAAACCGGGGCUAAUGCCGGAUAACAUGUUGGACCGCAUGGUCCUACAGUGAAAGACGGUCUUGCUGUCACUUAUAGGUGGACCCGCGCCGUAUUAGCUAGUUGGUAAGGUAACGGCUUACCAAGGCAACGAUACGUAGCCGACCUGAGAGGGUGAUCGGCCACACUGGAACUGAGACACGGUCCAGACUCCUACGGGAGGCAGCAGUAGGGAAUCUUCCGCAAUGGGCGAAAGCCUGACGGAGCAACGCCGCGUGAGUGAUGAAGGCCUUC